rnacentral:misc_RNA from 1 species
AACGCACAUUGCGCCUCCGGGUAUUCCUGGAGGCAUGCCUGUUCGAGCGUCGUUAAAGACCAUGAGGCUUUGCCUUGCGAUGAGCCUCCGAUUUAUUUUAUAGAUUGGUAGCUUCAAACUGAUUGGCAUCUGAAGUUUAGCCCAAGCACAGCAAAAUGUGUUUUGUAAGCUGACUGCAAGAUUUGCCUGUUCACAAACAUAAAGGUCGACCUCGGAUCAAGCAAGAUUACCCGCUGAACUUAA